rnacentral:lncRNA from 1 species
CCUCUCUUCUCUUAUUUCGGCGACUAUCCAUCUUGCUUCCCCGUUUCCGUCAAGAUCAAGCGGAAUUUGACACGGCGAAUCUUUAUAUUACUGCGGUUUAAAGCUCCGAACAUGGUGGACAAAUCUUGUGAACCAUCGCCUUUUUUAUCCGCAGCGAAUAUUGAAAGGUACAUGUUUAGUCGUUGACACAUCUACUUCAACUCUGUUAUUGUUUCGUAAUUUGAAUGUUAUCUGAUUUUACUCGCAGUUACCCGCAUACAUCGUCGUUAAUUUCCAGGAUCUAGAAUUUUAAUUUUUCUCAGCUAGAUUUCUCGUUAUUCUUCCUCUUUUUGGACACAUAAACGUUUGUCUCAUAGUCCAUUUCUAGUGAUUCAUGAUUUUGGUAUUUUUUACCAGCCCACUCUCAUUCUCAUCCGUCUUAUAAAUAUCCAGAUCUAUGCUUUCAGAUCUGAGUAGUCGACAUCCGUCUUAACAGUUCCGCCAUUUUUUUGUUGUUAUUGAUAUCUGGUUCUCUUGAUUUUGUAGAUUUAGAAUAGUUAACUAUUUUUUUAUGCAUACUGAGUAAAUAGUAACUACAUUGAAUAUAAUCAUUAAUAAUCGUUUACUCUUAUCAUCUAUAACAGAUACAAUAAAUAACUACUCUAUAUUCAGUUAGUCUACAUAUCUACUAUGCACAUAUAACCCACUACCAAUAUAACUAUGGGUAGUUAACUAUGUUAUAACAAUAGCUAACUUUUUGCCAUUUUUCCUUUGUAGGGAUAUGUGUUCUCUUCGACAAUGUGAACCCACACUGUUUGCAAAUAAUGUGCUUCUCCAGAUUCGCGAUGCACUCGUUGAUGUCUUUGUAAGGGUUGCUUGAUAUUCUGCAAAUGAUGCUUGUUCAUUUGCUUGUUCAUGU